rnacentral:lncRNA from 1 species
UUUUGAUUAUGUUUCUUCUUAUAUUUUCUAUAUUGUUUCUGAUCAUAAUUCUGGGUUGUGUAUAUAACAGAUUUACAGAAAUUCAUUUCAUUUCUUUUUAAUUGUUUUUGUAUUUGUAUGUUUGUACAUUUUUCUGUUAGUAUAUCCAUUAUAUGUUGUGUUCUAUGCCCUAUUGUCCAUUUUAGAUUUGGGUUGGCUACUACACCAUCUCUUUUAUACC